CUUUUCUCCUUCUUCUUCUUCAUCUUCUGACUUCAUCUUAUCUCUUUUCUCUUCCUUUUUCUCUUCUUCAUCCGUCUUCAUUUUCUUUCUCUUUCUUCCUUCUCUUUUUCUAAUGUUGACGAAGAAAGAGAUCGGUUGGAUUCAUGAGGUAAGACUGGAUUCGAGUUUUAGGAUCUCAUGUGAUAGGUUAUUGACAAAUAUGUUCUUCAUAGAAAAUUAGAGGAAGCAACAAUGGCUACCAAGAGGCUAAAGAAAUUGUUGGAAGCUCGCGUGACUACUCUGGUAGAACUUGAAUUGCUAGUGUUUCCUUUUACUACAUACUGCUAUUAUAAUGCUUAUAUAACGCUUAAGCACUUGAUUUUUUUAUAAUGCUUUUAAUUCACUUUCUUCAAUUUACCCAUUGUAUUUAUGUUGAAGAUGUGUGAAUAUUUGACAAUUGAGAUUAAUUUCUUGAUGUUCUACACUUUUUUUCAUGUGUGAUGUGUAUACUAUAUAACUACAAAAUUUGUGUUGUUGAUGCAUCAGGUCUUUGUAAUCGGUUCCAUACAUCUCGUCGGUGACAUGCUGAAACUAAUAAAGAAGUGAUUGGUUGGACUAAAUUGAAAUAUUUGUUUAUUUUAUGAUUUCGAAGAAAUGAAGUGCCAGUAUUAUUCUCGACGAGAUUAAAUGAGAUAUUUGUGUCUUUCAUAUAUUUAUAAAUGUUGUUUGUUUUCCAGUCUUUGAUAGAAGACUAUAUGAUUAAGUUGUGUGGUUUUAUACAUUUAAGCCAUGAAAAGUUCUUAUUAUGAAAAAUUGUGAGUCCUACUCUUCUUUAUCUUGAGUUUUUAUGAAGUUAUUCGAUCACUAUUUCUUUUAAUUGUAAGUAUGCGUUGUGUCAUUAACUAUGAUAUCUGCCUGUAACUUAGUUACUCUCAAUUUCCCUUCAGAAUGAGAUACUCAGAUGAAUCAGCGGUCAGUGGUGGUGGACUAUCUGAAUGAGAUUCUUCUAAUCAAAUAUUUUUAGCUUUGAAGCAUAAGGAUGGCGGAAAAGUAAUUUGGAAAAUGAAGCUGAAAUGGAAGGGAUUCUUUCUACUAGAAAAGUGGAACAAGAUAUGUCACCAUAUUGUGAGGAACAUAUAAAUGCCUCACCAAGUAUGGAGUGUUCCACUCUUCCAGCGACCCCUGACUUCAAUCUUUGGCUGAAGGAAUUCCCAGCCCAGAAUUUUCAGAAAGUGUAAGUUACCCAUAAAUUUGAAACACUAUUUCAAUAUAACAUGAAAGAAGCAUUGGUUGAGGGUGCUGCAAAGCUUGCCGAGCCUAACAUGUACGAACAGGGCGCUGGCAGAGUUGAUUUGUAGGUUUUCGUAUAUAGCUCUCGAAUUUGUUUGGGCGUAAGUAGUGGAUACUGUACUGGAAGUUUUUGGACAGUGAAUCCAAAAUUAAUUCC